rnacentral:lncRNA from 1 species
GUUCAAUGGGUUUGAGAAACAACCUGCAUAAAGAUUUUGAUAUGAAAAGCUCUUUGAAAAUCAAACAAGACAAUCGUUAUGCAGAUGAAAAGAUUGCUUUUAUUCUUGUUUUUUAGGGUUUUUUGUGAUCACCAAUUUCAUGCAAAAAGCGAAAAGGGAAAACAAAUGAAAAACAAAUGUUUAACAUGAAUUUAUUUGAAUGAAAAUAUCAUUGCACAAAAUGUUGC